GAUGAAGAAUGUAGCGAAAUGCGAUAAGUAAUGUGAAUUGCAGAAUUCAGUGAAUCAUCGAAUCUUUGAACGCACAUUGCGCCCGCCAGUAUUCUGGCGGGCAUGCCUGUCCGAGCGUCAUUUCAACCCUCGAACCCCUCCGGGGGGUCGGCGUUGGGGACCUCGGGAGCCCCUAAGACGGGAUCCCGGCCCCGAAAUACAGUGGCGGUCUCGCCGCAGCCUCUCCUGCGCAGUAGUUUGCACAACUCGCACCGGGAGCGCGGCGCGUCCACGUCCGUAAAACACCCAACUUCUGAAAUGUUGACCUCGGAUCAGGUAGGAAUACCCGCUGAACUUAAGCAUAUCAAUAAGCGGAGGA
rnacentral:misc_RNA from 1 species